UCGCCAGUAGAAAAUUAUUGAUGGUAGUGCCUGCUCAAUGCCCAAGGGGUAAAUAGCCGCUGUAUUAUGACGGUGCUAAGGUAGCGAAAUUCCUAGCCUCUUAAUUAGAGGCCUGCAUGAAUGGCUUGACGAGCGCUCUGCUGUCUCCUUUUCGUGUUUUUGAAAUUAACUUUUGUGUGCAAAGGCACAAAUGGCUGAGUUAGACGAAAAGACCCUGUGCAUCUUCACUGAGACAAAAGAAUAUUUUGUUUCUUAGUUUAGCUGGGGCAGCUGGGGAAAAACUAAAAUUUCCUUAUUUUUUUAUUACUGAUGGGUUUAGAUCCAGUUCCGUUGAUAGGUAUUGAUAAGUAGAAAAGUUACGCCAGGGAUAACAGCGUUAUCCUUCCGUGGAGGCCUUAU
rnacentral:rRNA from 1 species